rnacentral:rRNA from 1 species
CCUACGGGUGGCAGCAGUGGGGAAUAUUGGACAAUGGGCGAAAGCCUGAUCCAGCCAUGCCGCGUGUGUGAAGAAGGCCUUCGGGUUGUAAAGCACUUUCAGUGGGGAAGAAAGCCUUGGGGCUAAUACCCUCGAGGAAGGACAUCACCCACAGAAGAAGUACCGGCUAACUCCGUGCCAGCAGCCGCGGUAAUACGGAGGGUGCGAGCGUUAAUCGGAAUUACUGGGCGUAAAGCGCGCGUAGGCGGUCUGAUAAGCCGGUUGUGAAAGCCCCGGGCUCAACCUGGGAACGGCAUCCGGAACUGUCAGGCUAGAGUGCAGGAGAGGAAGGUAGAAUUCCCGGUGUAGCGGUGAAAUGCGUAGAGAUCGGGAGGAAUACCAGUGGCGAAGGCGGCCUUCUGGACUGACACUGACGCUGAGGUGCGAAAGCGUGGGUAGCAAACAGGAUUAGAUACCCGGGUAGU